UGAAGAUAGGUGACUCAAGACAUCUGUGC
rnacentral:piRNA from 1 species